AUUGAACGCUGGCGGCAUGCUUUACACAUGCAAGUCGGACGGCAGCACAGAGAAGCUUGCUUCUUGGGUGGCGAGUGGCGAACGGGUGAGUAAUAUAUCGGAACGUACCGAGUAAUGGGGGAUAACUAAUCGAAAGAUUAGCUAAUACCGCAUAUUCUCUGAGGAGGAAAGCAGGGGACCUUCGGGCCUUGCGUUAUUCGAGCGGCCGAUAUCUGAUUAGCUAGUUGGUGGGGUAAAGGCCUACCAAGGCGACGAUCAGUAGCGGGUCUGAGAGGAUGAUCCGCCACACUGGGACUGAGACACGGCCCAGACUCCUACGGGAGGCAGCAGUGGGGAAUUUUGGACAAUGGGCGCAAGCCUGAUCCAGCCAUGCCGCGUGUCUGAAGAAGGCCUUCGGGUUGUAAAGGACUUUUGUCAGGGAAGAAAAGGCUGUUGCUAAUACCGACAGCUGAUGACGGUACCUGAAGAAUAAGCACUGGCUAACUACGUG
rnacentral:rRNA from 1 species